rnacentral:rRNA from 1 species
GACGAACGCUGGCGGCGUGCUUAACACAUGCAAGUCGAACGAAGUGGCGAACGGGUGAGUAACGCGUAAUCAACCUGCCCUUCAGAGGGGGACAACAGUUGGAAACGACUGCUAAUACCGCAUACUGAAGGAGGGGAUUGCGUCUGAUUAGCUAGUUGGAGGGGUAACGGCCCACCAGGGCGAUGAUCAGUAGCCGGGCUGAGAGGAUGAAGGGCCACAUUGGUAAGGAGACGCGGCCCAGACGCCUACGGUAGGUAGCAGUGGGGAAUCUUCCGAAAUGGACGAAAGUCGGACGGAGCAACGCCGCGUGAGUGAUGACGGCCUUCGGGUUGUAAAGCUCUGUGAAUCGGGACGCGGUACCGGAAUAGAAAGCCACGGCUAACUACGUGCCAGCAGCCGCGGUAAUUC